UACGAGGGGUGCAAGCGUUGCUCGGAAUUAUUGGGCGUAAAGGGUAGGUAGGUGGUCUUAUUUGUCUGUGGUGAAAUCCUUGGGCUUAACCCAAGAAGUGCCAUAGAAACGGUAAGACUCGAGUUCUGGAGAGGGUCGUGGAAUUCCCGGUGUAGCGGUGAAAUGCGUAGAGAUCGGGAGGAACACCAGAGGCGAAGGCGGCGACCUGGGUCGAUACUGACGCUGAGGUGCGAAAGCGUGGGGAGCAAACAGG
rnacentral:rRNA from 1 species